AUCUUUAAGAAAAAAAAGGGACAUAUACUAAAAUUGGAGCGAUACAGAGAAGAUUAGUAUGGCCCCUGCGCAAGGAUGACACGCAAAUUCGUGAAGUUUUCCAUAUAUUU